AGCCUUCUGUAUCCGUGCUGAGAUUUCGUCACACACCAGACCAAAAGUGAUGAUGAGACCGCCGACACGCUCAACA
rnacentral:pre_miRNA from 1 species